rnacentral:lncRNA from 1 species
UAAAAAAAAUGUGAAUAAUUAAAUAACUAAAAAAAACAAUCCCAUCAAGGGAAGUAUUCUUCUCUUGAAAAGUAAAUGUUGUAAUUUGUAAAAUGAAAAGCUGCAAGACAAAGGUUUUACAUAUAAUUAUUUUUGUUGAUUGGACAAGUAUUUAAACGUCCUUUCGCAUAUCAACUGACAAUGGUUUCUUUUCCCUUGAAAGCAGACAGCAGACGAUAUCGAGAGUUAUUCAAAGCAAAUUGUCCAAAUCUCAGAAAAAGAAACUUGAAAAGGUAGAAAACAACUAAGAUUUGAGGUCGAUAGAUCGAUUGUAAUGGAAAAGAUUUCUAGGCCGCUUUCUUUUUCUCUUCUUAAGAUCAUGAGAUUUUAAACAAGUUGCUUAUUCCUUUACUGCUUACAACCACGUGCAACUUUAAGCAGCCAUUAAAGAAGAAAUGAAUCCUCUAUCGCCUUGUCCCAAAAUAUCAACAGUGCAAUAGGAGAUUUAUACAGUACAAGGUGAAGGUAGUAUAGACCUGUCCUGUUGGCGAAUAUGUUCAAUAUUUUAAGAUUUAAUUUAUUUUUAAAUAUUAAAAAAGAUAUGAAGAGUUGGAUCCAGUUUGGUAACAAAGUCACAUCCACUUUGGAAACUGCCUUCAUCGUGAAGGCAUGCAUGAGAUUGGUUUCUUUUUUCUUUUCCCCCCUUUGCAACAAUUCUCCGUAUUUAUCAAAACCAUUUUUUGCCUUAUUUUUUAAGGGAAAUUUAAUCACCCUAUUAUUAUCGUAUUUUUUUAUUUUGGU